GUGGAUUAGAUACCCUGGUAGUCCACGCCGUAAACGAUGGACACUAGGCGUCGGGGGGAGCGACCCUCCCGGUGCCGUCGCUAACGCAGUAAGUGUCCCGCCUGGGGAGUACGGCCGCAAGGCUGAAACUCAAAGGAAUUGACGGGGGCCCGCACAAGCGGUGGAGCAUGUGGUUUAAUUCGAAGCAACGCGAAGAACCUUACCUGGGCUUGACAUGCUGGUGUAAGCCGGUGGAAACAUCGGCCCCUCUUCGGAGCGCCAGCACAGGUGCUGCACGGCCGUCGUCAACU
rnacentral:rRNA from 1 species